UACAGAGGUCUCAACCGUUGUUCGGAUUCAUUGGGCGUAAAGGGUGCGUAGGCGGCGCGGUAAGUCGGGUGUGAAAUCUUGGAGCUUAACUCCGAAACUGCAUUCGAUACUGCCGUGCUUGAGGACUGGAGAGGAGACUGGAAUUUACGGUGUAGCGGUGAAAUGCGUAGAUAUCGUAAGGAAGACCAGUGGCGAAGGCGGGUCUCUGGACAGUUCCUGACACUGAGGCACGAAAAGCGUGGGGGAGCAAACAGG
rnacentral:rRNA from 1 species